ACGAGUUAGGGCCUCUGGCCCGAACCUCCAACCCUUUGUAUCAAAACCUCGUUGCCUCGGGGAGGCCCUGCCUCACGGCUGGCCCCCCGAUGGACCACUAAGCUCUGCAUCUGUAUGACGUCUGAGUAAAGAUUUUAAAUUAAAUCA
rnacentral:misc_RNA from 1 species